UGAAAGUGCAACUAAGAGAGCCUCAACUCAGAUCCAUAUCCCACACUCUUAGUUCCUGCCCUGGGGCUUCUCUGACUCUGUGGUACCAGGUACCCACAGGAAGCUAUCCAGCACUCAAGCAUGUGCAAACUGGAGAAGGGAAGUAGUUAAUCUCUUUGGGUUACACUUGAUUAACAGGUGACAUGAGCUAGUGGAUUAAAUACCUCUGCUUUUUGUCCACAAGGGACCUGCUGUAUUGAGUAUUAACCACCCCUAGUAUUGAAUUAUUGUACUGGUCUUCCUUCCUGUCUCUCUUUCCUGGUACCUGAAUCAUUCUCUCCAUAUUGUAUUUGCAUGCAAGCAACUACCUUAGUAUCUCCCUGGAGAAACCCAAGCUAUGACAGCAGGUACCAGAAUUGGCCCAAGAAAGUAGACCUUCCAAAUGGAUUUUGCAGCUGGAUCACCUGUGGGCAUAUGGGAAAUAACUGAGUCCUUUGGAGCUGAAAAUGAAAAACUGAGUAGCUGGUGGAAGAAGCGAGAUGGGUUUGGAACUCACAGGCUAUGUUUCUGGAUGCAUCACAUUUGCAAGAGGGAAGUUUUGGUGUCCCUGUGGGUAUAUUAGCACUCCUUUACUCCAUUUCUCUGUAGCUACUCAAGCAAGUGACAAGCUGCAGAGUCCAAGAAAGGUGACAGAUAUGAAGAAAUGCAGUGGUUGCAAAGGACAAAGACAAUGGCAACACAAAUAAAAGAAAUUAUGAGAAGGAAAUAAAUAUUAAAAAAAAAACCCAAACGUUUGUUGAUGUAAACUGAAAAUAAAUUUGGAAUGAGCUGUGUGCACUUGGAAAUGAGAAGCUCUGUCCUGCACCAUGAAGGGCUUUGUGUGCAUCCAUGGGUUGCUUCUGCAUGCAGAAUGAGACUGGAACAAAAAAGAACCAUUUAAAACACAGGAUCCAGGGAAUUUUCAGAACCUUGCCAUGUGGGUCUCUCCAUAUGGCUGCUUAAGCAUCCUCAUGACACGUCAGCUGGUCUCCCCAGUGGGAGUGAUCGAAGAGACAGAAGCAAGAAUGUCUUCAAUGACCUACCCUUGUAAGUCACAUACCUCACUUUCACCUAAUCCUCAAAAGGAGAGAGUUAGACUCCACCUUUUGGAGGCAAGAAUGUCAAAGAAUUUGUGGACAUAUUUCAAAACCAUCACUGGAUCAUAUAUGUGAAAAUAAACACUUACAAAAAAUAAAGUGCUAUAAAUGGGAUACAUUCAGAUAAGGAACCCUUCUUUCAAUGCCAUCCCAGAAUUCCCUCAGCUUAAUUCUCCCAGAAGCUUCAAGACCUUCUAAAAUUGUUUGGGCUUGGUCUUUAUAGUCUGGAGGCACCAAAAGCCUGAGAUUUGUAUAGAUUAAGGAAGAAUCAGAAUCUAAGAGACAUUAAAUGACUAGCCAAAGAUCACACUGCUAGUUGGUGGAAGUCCGAGGAGUUUGUCCUAAGUGUGCCUAACUUCAAAUCCCCUCAUCUUAAUCAUUGUGUCACAUCAUGUCAUAAAAAUGGAUGAAAGAAGAAAGAAGACACAAACACCCAGUAUUAUUUUAGGACAAUUUCAUGGCAUUAAGUGUGGAUUUUCGUUUUAGCUAACAUUUUCAUGAAGGAAAAUCUUUGAGGAUGUUCUCUCCAUUAAAAAAAGAAGGAAAAAAACUCAAGAUAAUUAUAGAUUUACAUGCAGUUGUAAAAGUUAGUAAUGUAAAGAGAAGGCUUGUACACUUUGCCUAAUUUCCCCAGUGGUAACUUUUUUAGAGCUAUAGUAUGAUAUCACAACCAGGAUAUUGACAUCAGUCAAUCCACUGAUCUUAUUCAGUUUUCCUAAGUUUACUCUUUAAUGUGUGUGUGAAGUUCUACACAAUUUUAUUACUCGUAUAAGUUCGUGUAUCAUCACCCUGGUUAAAAUACUGAGGGGUUCCAGUGCCACAAGGAUCCCUCCUAUUCUUUUUGAGCCACACCCAUUCCCCUUCUUCCCCAAUUUCUCCACCUCCCUUUCUAACUAUCUGCCACUAGUCUGUCCUCCAUUUCUAAAAUUUUGUCAUUUCAAAAAUUUAAUAUAAGUGGAAUUAUGUAGUAUACAACAAUUUGGAGUUUUGUUUUUGCUCAACAUGAUUUCCUAAAGAUUCAUUCAAGUAGUUCUGUAUAUCGAUAGUGUAUUUCUUUUUAUUGCUGAGUAGUAUUACAAUUUUGUUUAACCAUUCAACUCUUUUUUGUUAGUUUCUUUUUGUUUUUGAGAUGGAGUCUGUUGCCCAGGCUGGAAUGCAGCAGCGCGAUCUCUGCUCACAGCAACCUCUGCCUCCUGUGUUCAAGCUAUUCUCCAGCCUCAGCCUCCUGAGUAGCUGAGAUUACAGGCGUGAGCCACAGCGCCCACCCUAGCCAUUCAACUCUGAAGCACAUCUGGGUUGAUACCAGUUUUGGGCUGUUACAAUAAAACUUCUAUGAACAUUCACGCACAAAUUUUUGUGGGAACAUACGUUUUCAUUUCUCUAGGAUAGAUGUACAGGAAUAAAAUUCUGGGUCAUAUGGUAGUUGCAUGUUUAAAUAUUUAAGAAACUGCUAAACUGCUUUCCAGAGUGUCUGUACCAUUUCACAGUCCUAAAAGCGAUGUAUGAAUGAUCCAGUUUCACCAUUUCCUCAUCAGCAUUUGGUGUUGUAAUUCUCAUUUUAAUAAUGCUUAUAGAUGUGUGGUGAUAUCUCAUUAUGGUGUUCAUUUGUAUUUCUCUAAUGACCAAUAAAUAUUUAACAUAUUUCCAUGUGCCUGCUUUUUUGCCAUUUUAUAUCCUCUUUGGUCUAUAAUGCCUUUUGUCCAUUUUCUAAUUAAAUAUUUAUGUAUUGUUGAGUUUUCAGAGUUCUUUAUAUAUUCUAGAUAUUAUUCCUUUGUCAGCUAUGUGGUUUUAAAAUAUUUAUUUCUAUCUUGUAGCUUGUAAUUUCAUUUUCCUCACGUGGACUUUCACAAAGCAAGUGUUUUUAUUUUUGAUAAAAUCAGAUUUGUCAAGUUUUCCUUCUGUGGAUCAUGAUUUUGUUGUCAAGUCCAAUAACUGUCUGCCUAGCUCCAGAUCCCAAAGUUUGCUCCUGUG
rnacentral:lncRNA from 1 species